rnacentral:rRNA from 1 species
UACGUAGGGGGCAAGCGUUAUCCGGAAUCACUGGGCGUAAAGGGUGCGUAGGCGGCUUUACAAGUCAGGGGUGAAAGGCUACGGCUCAACCGUAGUAAGCCUUUGAAACUGUAGAGCUUGAGUGCAGGAGAGGAGAGUGGAAUUCCUAGUGUAGCGGUGAAAUGCGUAGAUAUUAGGAGGAACACCAGUGGCGAAGGCGACUCUCUGGACUGUAACUGACGCUGAGGCACGAAAGCGUGGGGAGCGAACAGG